UCUCUUGUAGUCCAGUGGCUAAGACUCUGCCCUUCCAAUGCAGGGGCCCUGGGUUCAGUUCCUGGUGAGGGAA
rnacentral:tRNA from 1 species